rnacentral:rRNA from 1 species
GCUAGCGGCAGGCCUAACACAUGCAAGUCGAGGGGUAACGAUGUCUUCGGACAGGCGACGACCGGCGCACGGGUGAGUAUCGCGUUUGUAACCUACCUUUAACUGGAGCAUAGCCCGAAGAAAUUCGGAUUAAUACUCCAUAAUACUAUGAACUGGCAUCUUUUUAUAGUUAAAGCUCCGGCGGUUAAAGAUGGGCAUGCGUAACAUUAGAUAGUUGGUGAGGUAACGGCUCACCAAGUCUACGAUGUUUAGGGGGUCUGAGAGGAUGGUCCCCCACACUGGUACUGGGACACGGACCAGACUCCUACGGGAGGCAGCAGUGAGGAAUAUUGGUCAAUGGGCGCAAGCCUGAACCAGCCAUGCCGCGUGAAGGAUGACAGCGCUACGCGUUGUAAACUUCUUUUGUACAGGAAGAAACGCCUCUACGUGUAGAGGUCUGACGGUACUGUACGAAUAAGCAUCGGCUAACUCCGUGCCAGCAGCCGCGGUAAUACGGAGGAUGCAAGCGUUAUCCGGAUUUAUUGGGUUUAAAGGGUACGUAGGCGGAA